UAGAUAUUUCACUGUAAGAUGGUAUUCAUAAUUAAGAGAUCUAUUUUCAGGCUUCCUCUGCCUGGUCUUAGACUGGACUGUGGCUGUCUAUGGACAAAGACUGUUUCCUAAUCAUUGCCCCAGGUUCCACAAUUGUUUCCAUGGAUAGAAGCUAAAGGCUGGCACCUGGCUGGAAAGUGGCACUGUGCCCAGGUACAAACGCCCCACAUAGAUACCGACACCCAAGGUAAAACAAUAGAAAUCAGGGAGAAGGGAUGGCCCAGUGGUUCAGACCACUUGCUGCUCUUGGAGAUGACCCCGAGCUUGACUUGCACACGGUAGCUCACAGUCCUCUAACUCUCGUUCCAGGGAAUCUGACACCCCCUUUCUCGCUUCCAAGAUCACCAGGCAUGGACUUGGUACAUGUACAUACAUGCAGUCAAACAAAAGUAAAUAAAUUUUAAAAAAAAUCUGUAAAACA